GAAAAUGUGUUUUGACAGGUUGGGCGGAGACAAACCUCUUCUGUAAGCCUCCUCCUGAUUGGGCCUUGCAGACACGAUCACACAGGAAGUAGUAUCAGUAAGCUUUUGACUGACAGCUCGUCAUCCAUAAGGGAGGACCGACGACCGGAGGCGGGACAAUGGCGGAGGCUUCUCCAACGUUUACGGUACGUGGGGAAGGUGUUUUGGACCAAAUUGUACAAUGACUCAUCGCAGUCUGUCUUCUUCAGAGAGAGAUUAAUGUCAAGUCAACCCAGAUUCGGCCUCUGUGCUUCGAGCCACAUGCCAACAGAACACAACGCAGGUUCAUUUUGGCAUUGCAGUAUUGACAUUCACCCCUCGACGAUAAGUAAUGGAUAGAGAUACGUCAGCAACAUUCGAGGAUUUGCAUAGGACCUUUUUGGAGUUCACAUAACCAUCCUUGCUAAAUUGAAGGCAGACCUGGAGGCUUUUGUGGAAGGCUGGAACAACCAUCCCAUUAGGACGGGGGAUAAUCUAACUCCAGAGCAGCUCUGGCAAACCACAAUGAUGGUUUACCCGUUGGAUCAGCCAGAUAAUCUUGAGGACAUCCAAGAGCCUGACAUUGAAUGGGACAUUGCUGCUGAGUAUGAUGGACAUGUGGAUGGUGCAAUACUGGUCCCUGAAUUUCCAUGUCCACUCAAUGAACAGCAACUGGCUGAGGUGCAGUUGCUGCUUGAAAAUGAAGCCGAGAGUGAUACUACAGAACUUUUUCUACUAUGUUGUGAAUAUGUGAUUACCGCUUUGUCAGGUGCUGAGUAGCCUAUAAAUGAACAAUGACAUAUUUGGACCUAACACAAAUAAACAUUGCCCAUUAUG